rnacentral:misc_RNA from 1 species
GAGAAGAACGUAGCGAAAUGCGAUAAGUAAUGUGAAUUGCAGAAUUCAGUGAAUCAUCGAAUCUUUGAACGCACCUUGCACCCUUUGGUAUUCCGAAGGGUAUGCUCGUUUGAGUGUCAUUGUACUCUCACACUUCUAAUUCCUUUCGGGAUUGGGAGCGGUGGACUUGGGUGUUGCUGCUUUAGUUGUGGCUCACCUCAAAUAAGUUAGUGCAACUCUUGGUUGGACAUAGUACGGCGUGAUAAGUGUCUUCGCCGGCGCCUCUGUAAGGAGGGUGGCCGAUCGGGAGCUCUGUGCUUCAAACCGUCUUCGGACAAUCUUUGACAACUUGACCUCAAAUCGAGUAGGACUACCCGCUGAACUUAAGCAUAUCAAUAAGCGGAGGA